GAAAUUUUAGCAAGAUCUUGCAUACUUGUCCACAUCAGUGUGAUCGCCACAAAGUCAUUCUGGAAGCUGAAGAGAGAUAUAAAAGGGGACUAAGAAAAUUGGUUAUCUGUAAUAACAAUAGUUCUGAGGCUUUUAAGAAAAUACUGUUGACCCCAGCUGAGAAAGGAAGUCUGAAUACAGCGGCGUCAACCUUCAAGAGCAGAAAAAAUCCUCAGGAAAAUUUUCAAAGUAUUCGUUUGACUCCUAUGAAGAAAAGCCAAAGUAGUAUUUCAAAUAUAGAUGACAACCUCAACAAAAAUAUUAAUUUCCAAGAAAAAU
rnacentral:lncRNA from 1 species